CGGAGUGCGGUAAUUUAGUUUUUAUUAUGCUAUAGUCGUAACAUUGUUCGGUUAGGCUAAGUUCAACAAGAGACAUCUAAGAAUGAAGCUUAAUUUGAAUUAGUCCAAACUCACGAGACAUUGGUGUUUGGUAUUUUAGCCCUCAGCAUAGAACACAGAAAUAACCUUAAAUAGAGAAAUACUUUCAAUUGCAUCAAGUAUCUUA
rnacentral:lncRNA from 1 species